CUACGACAUCGGAAUCUGUUUGUAUAUAUUUGUCUUAUGUUUGUCCGUUCUGUUUCUCUCAGUGUGGCUGACAACUCAGAACCACAGUACGCUUGUGACCGAACGGAGUGCCGUCCCCUUCUUACCCGUCAACCCUGAAUACUCAGCGACACGCAACCAGGGGCGGCAAAAAUUGGCUCGUUUUAAUGCACGAGAAUUCGCCACCCUCAUUAUCGACAUACUCAGUGAUGCCAAGCGGAGGCAGCAUGGAAAAGGCCUGACAAGCCCCACAGACCCGCUGGAUCUGAGUCAGGCAGACGAUGACCAGCAUGAUUAUGACAGCGUAGCGUCUGACGAAGACACAGACAGCGAGCUGACCGCACAGAAUAACAACAAUACCCACCGCAACAACCGGGCCAAGAGCAUGGACUCAUCCGACCUGUCAGAUGG